UACGUAGGGUGCAAGCGUUAAUCGGAAUUACUGGGCGUAAAGCGUGCGCAGGCGGUUCUAUAAGACAGAUGUGAAGUCCCCGGGCUCAACCUGGGAACUGCAUUUGUGACUGUAGAGCUGGAGUGCGGCAGAGGGGAUGGAAUUCCGCGUGUAGCAGUGAAAUGCGUAGAUAUGCGGAGGAACACCGAUGGCGAAGGCAAUCCCCUGGGCCUGCACUGACGCUCAUGCACGAAAGCGUGGGAGCAAACAGG
rnacentral:rRNA from 1 species